UGCCAGCCGCCGCGGUAAUACGGAGGGGGCGAGCGUUAUUCGGAUUUACUGGGCGUAAAGCGCACGUAGGCGGCGUAUCUAGUCAGAGGUGAGAGCCCGGGGCUCAACCCCGGAAUUGCCUUUGAUACUGGUAUGCUUGAGUUCGGAAGAGGGUAGUGGAAUUCCAAGUGUAGAGGUGAAAUUCGUAGAUAUUUGGAAGAACACCGGUGGCGAAGGCGGCAACCUGGGAGGGUACUGACGCUGAGCCGCGAAAGCGUGGGGAGCAAACAGGAUUAGAUA
rnacentral:rRNA from 1 species